ACAACAAAAACAACAACGCUGAACCAACACAACAAAAACAAGACGUAACGACUCCAUAACAACAAGAACAACAGGGUGGAGGCGCAGCAAACAGAUUCUUUUGGAGAGGAGUUGCCCGUCAGGGAUCUCCCCCCGACCGGACCGAGAACGAUAAAACUGCCCCGAGGCAGCGGCCAGCACCGGUAGGACCCGCAAGGGUAGCGGCAACAUCAGCGUCCAAAGGAAUACGUUUGUUCUUGCGGUCCCGACUUGGGACUACCACCGGCCUCCGGCCGGGCGGGUUGCCAAAAACAACAACAAGCCCGUCAGCACAACAAGAACAAAGCAUGACCGAUUCGAAGGGGGAGCCCAUGGGCUCCCCCUUGUGCUGUCUGCCUUCCUGAUCCUGCCGCGUCC
rnacentral:sRNA from 1 species